CAACUCACCAUUUUGACUGAGUAUGAAAGAACCAAAAGACACUGCUUGAAGACUUUCAGAGGCAUUGAAGAGGAUUCAGAACCCUGCAGAAAGAUGAACUGUGUGCGCUGCAGUUCCCACGAGCAUGUCACUAACCAUUUCCUGGGCCUUAUCACCGAGAGGAAAAAAAGGAGUGCCUUUGAAAAGUGGAAACAAAACAUCAGGCCCCAUUGUCGUGCGACUUCCCCGGCCACAAUCUGGGCUCUCCAUCACUCGACACGCAGAGACUACAAACACGGCCUAAUACAGAUACUCCGA